rnacentral:rRNA from 1 species
UACGUAGGGUGCGAGCGUUAAUCGGAAUUACUGGGCGUAAAGCGUGCGCAGGCGGUUCUCCAAGUCCGUUGUGAAAGUCCAGGGCUCAACCCUGGAAUGCCGAUGGAUACUGCGGAGCUAGAGUCCGGAAGAGGCGAGUGGAAUUCCUGGUGUAGCGGUGAAAUGCGCAGAUAUCAGGAGGAACACCAAUGGCGAAGGCAGCUCGCUGGGACGGUACUGACGCUGAGGAGCGAAAGCAUGGGGAGCGAACAGG